ensembl:lncRNA
GUUGGCUUCUCCACUUUCUGUCUUCUUUGUGAGGUUGGCUGGGGCUCUCCACGCCCUGUUGGGGCUGUAGGGGUGAGCUCAGUCUGUUCCCCAGUGCUGAGCAUCUGACUCAUCCAUCCAGGCACGGAGCACCUCACGCGUCCCUCCUCGCUGCUCUCAGCCACCGAUUAUCUCAGAUCAUCAGUGCUUUGGAUGACCGAAUAAACAGGAUUAUCCUCUCCCGGUGCCUGUUAAGUCAAAACUGGAUGGUGAUCCUAUUAGUGGAUCGCAAUAGCGUGAGGAUAUCCAAGCAGGAGAUUAUCUUUGAUUUGCUCUGCGGAGCUGAAAACAGUACUGGGAAAUUUUUAAUCUCCAUGAAGGGGACAGUAGAGCUCACAGAAAGAAACCCAAAUUCACGACCAUCCCCUCGAUCAGCUGCCUAGCUCAAAAAAAGCAUCACGAUCGACAAAGUCAUACCCUUCUUUCAUUGAUAUAGUAACGGAUUUGGGAUGCCAAUGGAAAACGUCUUACAUGCGUAGCCUCUUUCAUCCAAACUGAUCCCAGCAAGCCUUACAAGUGCCACAUGCCAAUGGCACGUGGGAUUAACAGCACUUACAGGAGCCUCUCUGUGCUCCCACUGAGGUUACAGAGCACGGCAGGGGCACUCACUGCUGAGUCAGACAUGAAAUGGGCUGGAACGGGGCCAGGCUGCUGAGCUCAAGCCUUGCAUUGUGCGGGAAGGGUUUGGGUCUGCGCCGUGUGCAGAACGACGGGGCAGGUUGCAGUAGGGCACAGAACGAUGCUGUUUGAAACAUCUUGGUAAUACACCCUUAUUUGUUUUUUUCCCAACACUUGAGGUUAAAAAUAUUGCGAGAAGUUGCAGAGGAGGAAAUACCCAUAUCUCAAUUAAAGUCUCCUUAAAGAAAUGAUUUGGUUUUUAAUGCAGGAUAUCAGGGAAGCAAGCCAGCCAGCUCCCAACACCUUUUAAUAAAUGCGUGCAGAAAAAUAAAUUCCUUCAAAAGAAGCUUUGAAGAGUGUAAUUAAGCAUGAAAGUUACCAUAUAUUAAAUUAUACAUCUAGUAAAAAAGAGUCAUUAGCCCAGCAAAUGGGCUGUUAAUGAUUUCAGGUUUGCCUCGGGCUGCAAGCUAACCAACCUGUGAUGAAGCAGUGGCUGAGCUGCUGCUGAGCCUGGCUGCUGCCACAGACCUUACCCGCUGCUUGGCAAGUGUGGAACAACCAAACCUGCUAUAAAUCACACCAAACGUGGCCUGUAGAAACAGCUGGGUUUUGGGGCAGGUGAAAUGCUAGCUUUGAGGUGCUGGAAGCUCCUCCAUGCACCAGACCCUGCUGUGCAUCCAGCUGCACUCCGCCAUUCCUGCUGGGUCUCAUGGUCCUCUGCGCCUGCCCAGAGGGUUCCCAACCCCACGGAGUCCCCUCCAGAGCUGCCACCACCCCACGAUCCCCACCGCAGAGCUUUGGCUGAAGCCUGCCUGCCUUCAGCACUGAGCUGGCUGCCUGCCCAGCAAGGGGAGACGUGGCACUGAGGGGCACAGCAGCAGGGCACGGUGACAUGGAGGCAUGGCCACGAGGGCUCAGCUGCUCUGCUUGUUGCUGGUCAGCUGCCGCUCCCCUCCUCUCUCUGGGUAAUUCCUCCCCUUCCUGUGGUGCACCCCAAAAGCACAGAAACCCAUUUCCUCGCCAGGCCCUGAGCCCUGCUGUGUGCUCCCUGGAGAGCUGCUCACAGUCUGAGCUGACAGAGCACUUCCCCUGAGCAGAAACGGUGGGAACGCAGCACUCUGUGGGACGGUCCAACAGCAAAAUGAGAGCUCUGUUUGAUUUAAGGAAGCUCUUCUGUCACUGUUUUGUAACGAGCAGUUCUGGAUAGUUCCGACUUUUCUUUUUUCAAGUAAAACGAAGAGGCGUUUCCCUCUUUUAUGGUUCACAUGAUCGAAGGGCCAAGAUUUAUAUUUCCACAUAAGAAGAAAUUGGAUCCUGUCAGCAGACAGUGGCACAACGCCUGGCCCAGCUCCACCAGAACACGGCCACGGGCCAAACAGGGGAGGGGGCUUCUGUGGAAACAAUGCCUACCAAUAGCACCGAGAGUUAAAGUCUCCUUUCCCGUCUGCCCUUCUGAUGACAGCACUCAAGGCACAACCUCAGGUGGCCUCUUGGACCCCAUUUAAGACAUCUACGUCAUUCUAUGUCAGAUAAGUCACAUGUAUGGUGCCCGGUCCUUCCUCCAAAUGCUGUUGUUUCUCAUGGUUAUUCCUACAAAAAGAACAUGGCUCGAUUUUGGCAGCAGUUGCACAGACUUCAGGGUAAAUAUAGCCGUCGUUGACUUUCCCUGAGCCUCAGAUACUUCUGAAAAUAAGCUUUCUGGCACCCACCAAGGAACAUGCUGAACAUCUCCUUUAGUUACGUGCCCCCAAAUAAAAGGAACUCAUAAAGUCCUUAAGAAUUUGAUUUGAGAUCACAUUUAACUGUCCUUCCAAGCAUUCAGGCGUAGUCCACCUCUCACUCCACUGACAGCAGUCAGAAUAUCUUCAGUGUAAUCAGCGGUGGCAUCACAGAAUAUAACUGGAAAGUAAGAAUUAAAGAACGGAAUUAUUCCUUUUUAACAGCCUCCCCUGUAUGGUCCAUGUGCACACCGGAGGCUGUUCCAAGGGCACCUGAGCUCCCACCACACUGACCCCAACCUCAGCUCACACAGCUCUCAGGCCUCUGUAUUUAAAAUAUGCUUUCCAAAUUUGUUUUGUUUGUAAUACAUAAAAAAAAAAAAAACAAAAUAAAAACCAAAAAAACACCACCCUUUCCCAGUAAAGCAAAUAGAUUUUCCAGUGAACUCCAGCACUGAACCCUGCAGCGCUUUACUAUUUCUAGAUUAGAGCAUGAGCUUCACAUUUUUUCCUGGAGAAAAAAAAAUACAGGCAUGAAUUUAUAAUGCCACUGUAGCAAGCACAGGAGGCAUCCUGGAACAGAAAACAACCUGAGCAACAAUACUGGGCUCAAACCUUCCCAGAAGUUCAGGAGCAGCAGCAGCCCGCUUCUGCUAAGGCUGCACCAUUCUGUGCCCCUGUAUGUGGCUGCCAGAGCUGCACAUCAGAGCUGGGUGCCCUGUAAUGGACAGCCUGUGUCCCACUCCCUCUGGCUCUCUGCUGUUCCAGGGGUGCUCCCCUGAAGGGACCAACCCUGACACAUUUUGUUUCGCAUCCUACCAGGCUGGCACGGCAUUAGUGUGGCCUUCACCACUCACACGUGAGCACAACAGAUGAGCAUUGCUUCUUGCUGAAAGCAUCCCGGUCUGCCCUGAGUGUCCCAGGAGGGUUUCAUCACUGCAGCUGGUCAUGAGGUGGGAAUCCUUUUCCAUAAGGCAUCUCUUGGUUAGGAAAAGUAAAAAUAACAAAACAAAAAAAAAAAUUACAUCCUUUCCCCAGAAGAGCAUUUUGGAGGAAGCAAACCAGGGCUUUUCGUUCUGUCAGCAACCUGUUUGGAGGCAUCGCCCACCCCUGCUCUCCUACCACACAGAGAAGAUGAAAUUAGCCUUCUGGAGCUGACACACCACGUGCUCAUGAUUUCAUUCAGAAACAUGAAGGAUAAAGUAAACCCUUUCUUCAUACCAUGUUUCUUUUCAGAGCUAAAAAACCCUCUGGGGAUGGACUGCAGCUGCCCAGAGCUGGGCUCAGGGGGCUCCGUGGGACUUCAUCCUGCCGUGCAGUCCCCUUCACACACAACCACUGCCUGGGAUCAAACUGCUGAAUGGCACUUAUUUGUGUGUCACUUCCUUGCACAGACACGCAGACACUUGCUGUGGGAGCUGCUGGGCAUAAGCAGAACUGGAAGGGCACUGCUGUCCCAGGGAGGGGAGGGUGGCUGCCCCACACCCAGAGCUGCCUCUGAAGGAGCAGCUACUGCUAUGAGAAGUGGAAGAAUAGCUCUUGUUUUUAAUUAUCUGAUCAAGUUUUCCAUGCUAAAUCUAAUUGAAACAGCAAGGAGGGGACUGCAUUUAAAGACAGACAAGGCAUUUGCAUCUGUUUUGCUGAUUAUAGUAGUUGCACAUUUCACUUUAAACACCAAUGGGCUGCAACUGCUAUUCAAAUGAUAUGGAAAUUGGUACUUUAUACUGAAAUCUCCCUUAAGCAACAAAGGAAGGGAUUAGCACAUGGCUCUGCUUCUCCUUUUCAUUUUACCAAAGCACUAUGGCAGUGGAAAUCUGAUGGCUCAGAAACAACACCUGUAUCUUCUAAUUUUUAUUAUAUCAAGCUGCAGAAUAUUUGAACCCUUUUGCAUAACUAUCAUAAUACUAUUUUUAAUUAAAAUAACAGUCUAUAUCUGAAACACUGAAUUAACUUCAUUUUCACAGGGCCUAUCUAUCCCAGAAAUGCAGGUACACAAGUGAUAGAGGACAGUUGCCAGCUGGGUGCCUGCACAGGGCCUGCCUCGCCUGCAGAAACCCAAGGAGCGCUCCUCACGGGGUCAGUGCCACCCAGGACUCAGCCCCUGCCCUCAACCCCCUUUCAUGCAGUGCCACAGAUGGCAAUUUUUAAUGAGUUUUAAUGGGAACUUUGCAUGAACGCACCCUCUCAGCACAGUUAUCCAGGACUUGCUGGGGAAAGCAAAGGUGCACAGCUAACAAAGUAUUUUAAUGCAGUCCCCCUGCAGAACCACUGAUAGAAUUAAAUUGUAAUAGAGUUUGCACAGCUCACGUGUGUGUGUCAAAACUUUGGUGCUCCAGGGAGCUGGGAUGGGGGAGAUUGUCAAGUCCUCACCCAGUCCUGCAGUCCGCUGUGCUGGGAAUGGCUGAAUCAAACACUGAAGCACUGAACACAGUCACUGGGCUCUCACAUUCUGCUGAGACACCUUCAGCUCUUCAUAAUAGAAUGCAGACACGAUUAAACAAAGCAACUCCUUUCUCUCAGUAAAAUUUCAGUACGCAACCCACAGAAUAGAGCAUUAUCAGUCCGGAACCACCCACAUUACAUAGGGACCCAAAUUUGCUCUUACCCACGUGCCUCUGCAUCCCCACUGCCUUCAGUGGAUUUUUUAGUCACAGACAUAAAAGGGCAACAUCACUUCAGAACAUUUGCACUGUGUCCAUCACACUAAAACCGAAACAACAGGGCAGGCUAUGGCACAUUCAUGCAAGAGCUCCGAUAACUGCGUUUGCACUUCUGGUUUUGUCAGCCUCACAUGAAUAUUUACGCACAUUUCCAUGAUGCGCCCCUGGUUUGCAUAGGGCACAGGUUGGCAGCAGCUGAAAGCCAUUAGCAUCUGACAGCUGCUGAAAGAGCUUGUUUGGAACAAAUAGGUGUCCUGUCCUGCAGAGCAGGCAGGUGAUCGGGGCAUCGUUAGGGGCUGUGGCUCUGGCAGCUGUCAGGACAAGGAAGGCCCUCCCUGUGCUGCUCAGCCCGGCCUGGAGCAGGGAGAUUUAAUUAUCACCACCACAUAAUGGGUGGUUUGUAGGAGACUGAGACCUGACAGAAACAGAUAGUGGGCAAACAGAGAACAGAUCACAGCCAAUGGAGUAAUUACAAUCCAAAUAAGAGCCCAUGAGCUGAGAGAGCAGAUGUUGUUGUCCGUCAGCAUCUCCACAUAAAAUGUAUGUUUGAAUAGUAUUUGAGAAAAAGGCAAGAGUGUUACUUGCCUAAGAGCUAUGGGAUGCUGGUGGGAGAUGCUCAGGGACAGGUCCUCACAGGGAAAAUGCUCUUGGGAGCAGAGGUGGGGACAUCCAGUGAUGGGGACCGAGAGGGCCCAGGAGGGGGCACCUCCCCCUGCAACCAGCACCUCCCCUCCCAUUGCAGCUAGAGCAGGAAUGAGCUGGAGGCUUGUCAUUGUACUCUGUGGUUGGGAGAGAGAGAGAGAGAGAGAGAGAGAUGAGCACUGUGAAGUGGGCAGACAGCGCUGGGUGUUCCCACCUCAGCCACAGGGAGGUGGACAAAGCCCACAGAAUCCUGCUGGGAAUGCUGCUUGUACAAAGCGUACCCAUAAGUGCCAAAUACUCUGCAGCAUCCAUCCAAGCAACUGUGCUUUCUCAAAUCCAGAAUAAAAGCAUUUGGUGGGCAGAGAUGAAAUCGAGUGGUCAAAUAUAAACAGAAGAGGUCCAUUGCAAGGUCGCCCUUCUGGGAUGCUGGAAAUAUAUGCCUUCAUCCCAGACCAAGAGCACAGCAAUCCCAUUCAGCACUAUUCACACAUCACUCACACCUCCCAGCACACAUCUGUUUCUGGGGAAAUACUUGAGAGCACAUGGGGCUGGGCCUUUAUCUCACAUUCUGUGCCCAUGGUUGCAAUUAUAAGCACAGCCAUGGUGAACGUCUGCGCAAAGGACAAGCUACACAUCCUCAUGGUACUUCUGGGUCGUUUCUUCACUGGUAUUCUUGAAAGCGGUGAGCAUGGAAAUGCCCCCACUUUUCUGCAAGCAUAUGCAUAACACGGCUCUAAUUGACAAACCUUGAAGUUACCAAGAACAGCAAACCUCUGUGCCCAAAACCAUGGGUGAGGAAGCGCCCUCCAUUCCUCAGGGCUCACCAAGCAUUACUGCCUCCUGUUUGCACUGUUUUUAAAACAUGGGUUGUUUAAAAUAUACACAAUUAACAUUAACAAAGACCUGCAGUUCUCAGGGCGAUUCGCUGGAACAAGCACUGCCUGCUGUCUGAUGUGCAGUGACCUUUGGAAGUAUUUUUAGGCACUGUCCUAUAAGCAAUGCUUCUUGCACCAAUUGCUUCUGCCCAGAUAUAAACCAGCAGUAACUGUGAGAGCAGCAUGGGAUGGAUUUGUGUUUUCUGAAACUGGGUGGGGGGGGAAGACAAUUACUGAGGUUUGGAAGAGGGUUUAAGCUGCACAACUUUCUCAUUUGUUUAAUUCUAAAGCAUACAGAGACUGCAUGCCAUGGGUAAGGACACUGCAGCACACAGAGAGCCAGCAGGAGGCUUCUCAACAGGUCACACCACAAACCAAACCCGUGCCAGAAUUCAGAGGUGUAGGAUGAAGGAACUUGUUUCUUUUCACUUACAUUUAGAAGUGUCACACGAGGGAGCAAUCAGUACAUGAGAGAUGAACAGAG